UACGAAGGGGGCUAGCGUUGCUCGGAAUCAUUGGGCGUAAAGCGCACGUAGGCGGCCUCAUAAGUCGGAUGUGAAAUCCCUCGGCUCAACCGAGGACGUGCAUACGAAACUGCGAGGCUCGAGUAUGGAAGAGGGUCGCGGAAUUCCCGGUGUAGAGGUGAAAUUCGUAGAUAUCGGGAGGAACACCAGUGGCGAAGGCGGCGACCUGGGCCAAUACUGACGCUGAGGUGCGAAAGCGUGGGGAGCAAACAGGG
rnacentral:rRNA from 1 species